rnacentral:rRNA from 1 species
CGGACGGGUGAGUAACGCGUGGGUAACCUGCCAUAUACAGGGGGAUAACACUUAGAAAUAGGUGCUAAUACCGCAUAAGCGCACGGGAGCGCAUGCUCCUGUGUGAAAAACUCCGGUGGUAUGGGAUGGACCCGCGUCUGAUUAGCCAGUUGGCAGGGUAACGGCCUACCAAAGCGACGAUCAGUAGCCGGCCUGAGAGGGUGGACGGCCACAUUGGGACUGAGACACGGCCCAAACUCCUACGGGAGGCAGCAG